GGAUUCGUGAUUUAUAUAGGCAGGGUUCAUGUCAUAAUUUGUGUCACACUUCAUUGAGCAUCACAUUAAAUUCAAUUAGCAACUUCUUACCAAAAAAAGAAAUUCAAUAAGCAAGUGGAGCAUAGCAUCCAAUGGGCAGAAACCAACAAGGGGGAAGGUAGAGUCAGCAAGGCAACACGUUUCUCUUUCGUUCAAAUCAAGGUUUUCAAAAUCACAACCUGCGAUAAGUUUUGUUGAUAACCUAAUUUGUAGUUAGUACUUGUUUGUUUUCAAUUUAUAUUGGGUUUGUAAGCUUGAAUUUAGAUUACCAUCCAAGUGUUUUCAAUUUUUUCUCCAAAUUUUCUCUACCCAAAUAAAUUUUGGUACCGGUAGUCCUUAGCGUUACGUUAUUAGAA
rnacentral:lncRNA from 1 species